AAGCAAGACUAAACAAAAAGAAGAAAUCUGGAGGCAUCACAUUACCAGACUUCAAACUAUACAACAAUGCUGGUAGAAGAGCCUGAUGGCCUGGUGUUGGGCCUGAUCACCCCAAAAUUUCAGGCACCCAACGUGGGGCUAUGAAGACCAUGGUAAAGAAAUGCUAGAGUAUAUGGAAAUGAAGGACAUAUCAUCAAAGGACACCCGAGGAUGGCUGAAAGAAGCUUGGUGGGUAAGCUGGGCACUCUGAAGAACCAAGGUAACAAUGGGACAAAAUGAAAGUAAACAUUCUGCUUGUUUAAACUUUCUAAGGCAUUUAUUAUGGAGAGGGGGAGUGAAAGUUAGUACUCAGAAUUUAUUAACACUCUUUAGUACAGUGGAGCAGUUUUGCCUGUGGUUCCUAGAACAAGGGACAAUGGAGUUCGAUGAAUGGGAAAGAAUUGGCAGAGAUCUAAAAAAGGUGCAUAAAGAAGGAGCCAAAAUUCCAGUUUCUUUUUGGUCAGUGUGGGCAUUGAUAAAGGCAGGUCUUGAGCCAUUUCAAACAAAUGAUGAGGCAGAUUCAGAUAAGGAAGAGGAAAACGAGUGUAAAAAAUUAACUUCAGAUUCUGAAUGUGGGGAACAGCAACCAGAGGAAAUUAAAGAAAGGAAAACUAAAACAGAUAUAUUUUAGUAGCCCGUUGGUUCCACCUGCUGAAUUAAGUGAAUGGCCACUUCCUUCCUCUCCCCCUAAUGGUCGAGAAAAUGAAUUAGCUGCAAAACUUACUGCUCUGGUAGCUGCAACAUUAAAACCUGGAGGAAUUGGUGAUGCUAUACAAAAUUCUAUUCAGAAGGUUAGAGCUGAAGGAGACCUAGAUGCAUGGCAAUUUCCCAUUACUAUAAUCCAGCAAGGAGGACAGAAUAUAACUAAUUGGACCACCUUUCCUUUUAAGUUGUUAAAGGAAUUCAAGCAAGCCAUUAGUCAAUAUGGGCCAAAUUCUCCUUUUGUACAAACUUUACUAAAAAAUGUGGCUCUUGAUAAUAGAUUAAUACCAUAUGACUGGGAUACUUUAACAAAGUCUGUUCUCACUCCAUCUCAGUACCUGCAGUUUAAAACCUGGUGGGCUGAUGAAGCUCAAACUCAGGCAAGAGAAAACACACAAACACAGCCACCUGUGCUUGUUUCCUUUGAAUGGUUAAUGGAGUUGGGCCCUAAUUGGGGAUGAUUAGACAAUUAAGCAGUAAUGGAGGAUGUUGCCAUCGGGAUGUUCUGUCCGACAAGGACCUAAAGAACCAUAUACUGACUUUAUUGCUCAGCUCCAAGAGGCUGUGCGUAAAGCUGUAACUGAUAAAACAGCUCAAGACAUGGUAAUACAACUUCUUGCAUAUGAUAAUGCUAAUGCAGAGUGUCAAGCUGCCAUUAGACCUAUGCAAGGGAAGCCUCAUUUGGCUGAAUAUAUUAAGGCUUGUGAUGGCAUUGCGGGUAAUUUACAUAAGGCUACUCUUUUAGCUCAAGCUAUGGCUGGAUUAAAGGUGGGAAAAAAUAUGCCCCAUUUCUCAGGCUCUUGUUUUAAUUGUGGGCAAUUUGGACACACAAAAAAAGGAAUGUAGAAAAGGAAAUCAAAAGGCAAAAACUAUUACCAUCAAUCAACAGAAAAGUUCCGGUGUAUGCCCCUGGUGUAAGAAAGGCAAUCACUGGGCAAAUCAGUGUCAUCCUAAAUUUAGCAAAGAUGGGCAACCUCUUUUGGGAAACGGGAAGAGGGGCCCACCUCGGGCCCCUCAACAAACU
ensembl:lncRNA PM20D1-AS1 PM20D1 antisense RNA 1